rnacentral:sRNA from 1 species
CGGCUGCCCUGCCGGGCCCCACCAGGUGGCCACUGCUGGGCAGCCUGCUGCAGAUUCUCUGGAAAGGGGGGCUCAAGAAACAGCACGACACCCUGGUGGAGUACCACAAGAAGUAUGGCAAGAUUUUCCGCAUGAAGUUGGGUUCCUUUGAGUCGGUGCACCUGGGCUCGCCAUGCCUGCUGGAAGCGCUGUACCGCACCGAGAGCGCCUACCCGCAGCGGCUGGAGAUCAAACCGUGGAAGGCCUAUCGCGACUACCGCGAAGAAGGCUACGGGCUGCUGAUCCUGUGAGUCCAAUCCGAGGGACCUGGGCAUGCGGCCAGACCUGAUGAGCCUGACGGCGCCUGGAAAUUGUGAAGAGGCGGAGUUAGAGUUCCCUGGGGUUGGAAGCUUCUU